rnacentral:misc_RNA from 1 species
GAAAUGCGAUAAGUAAUGUGAAUUGCAGAAUUCAGUGAAUCAUCCAAUCUUUGAACGCACAUUGCGCCCGCCAGUAUUCUGGCGGGCAUGCCUGUCCGAGCGUCAUUUCAACCAUCAAGCCCCCGGGCUUGUGUUGGGGACCUGCGGCUGCCCGCAGGCCCUGAAAACCAGUGGCGGGCUCGCUGUCACACCGAGCGUAGUAGCAAUCACCUCGCUCAGGGCGUGCUGCGGGUUCCGGCCGUUAAACAGCCUUACAAAACCCAAGGUUGACCUCGGAUCAGGUAGGAAGACCCGCUGAACUUAAGC